AACACUCAGGUCAGGUCCACAGGCUUAAACAAUCCUAUUAUUAAUAUUGUAAAAACUCAUGCAACAUCAUCGAGAAAUUCUAUUUAUACAUUUUAAUUUCAUGGGAAUCAUUUAAAAAGAUGGGUUUAAAAGAUAAAUUGUGUAUACAUUAAAUAAAUGAAAAUUAUAGUGAUUUAUCAUGUAUCUAAUAGUAAUUUCGUCUGAUUGGUGUAUUUGUAAUAUAAAUUUUUAUUAAAUUAUGGGUUUGGUGAGUAUAUUUAUGGUUUCAAAUAGCCACGUCUUAAACUAAAAUGUCAUAAUUUUUUAAUUCAGAAUUUGCCCUGCCCCUGCUUACCAAUUGGCAUGUGUCGGCUUCUUCCUCUAUAAAGUUUUUAUCAUUACGUUACAUACCAGUCUUGUAGAAGAAUGAGCACAAAAAAACAGAAAUCAAAGAAAAAACCUCUACAGAAAGGAGAAGCGUGAUACCAUGAAUUGUUCGAAGAAAGGACAAGAACCAAUAUUGCGGCUUGUAUUAAGUUGUUAUUUUUGGUGUUCGUUGAAUUAGUCCAAAAAAUAGUUAAGAGUGGUUGAGAUAGUUCAAUAAGUUGUUAGUAUAGGAAAUAAUCUUAGUCCUAAAAAUAAUUAAAGAGUUAGCUGAGUUUAAGUAAGUUUCAAUAAGUUGUUGGUGUAGGCACUAGCCUUAGUCCUAAAAUUGGUUAAAGAGUUGUUGAGUUUAAAGUUCAAUAAGUUGUUCGUACAGGAACUAAUCUUAGUAAAUGUUAAUUUGUUAUGAUUUUCCUCCUCAAUAGUGAUAUAUGUAUAAAAAAUAGCACACUACCCAAAAAAAAAUUACAAGACAAAUAAAAAUUC
rnacentral:lncRNA from 1 species